rnacentral:lncRNA from 1 species
UUUCUAGAGGGUUGGAUGGUAUUAGCUAAAUUAAUGUUAGUAUUAGUAAAUGUAUUAAUAUUUAACAGUUUGUUAUUAUGAGAAGAGAUAAUUUGCAAGAGAUUUUUUGUGUUUGAAAAACCUAUCCUAAUCUUAUGUGAAUUGAUUAUAGAGUAAUAUCUAGAAUUGUUUGGAAAAUUCCUAGCAAUAGCUUGACGAAACAGCAGUGGGAGAUUAGAUUUAAUUUGUCUCCCGUAAGGAAUUAUUAACCAAAUAUUUUUACUAGUAUUCAUAGCAUAAUUACUUUUGAAGGUGUUAUAUUUACUUAUAGAUCGAUAAUAGGGGAUUAAAUAAGGGUUAUCUGCCUUCAUUCGCUUUGUAUCGGUACGUAAGUUAUGUUUGUUAUCAAUAAUUCUUUUACAACUAGAAAUCUUAUCUACAUUAUUGAAUUUACAAUUAGACUGAGCAGAAUCUAUGUAGAAAAUUUUCUCUGUAUAACCUGCUUUGAUUAAGGCAGAGUUAUAGAAUUCAGCAUUAUUAUUGAAAAUAUCAACAUUAGCAGAUAAUUUAGAUAAUCUAAAUGAAAUAUUCUUAACCAAGUUCUUAGUAAUUGCUCCAGGAUGAUUACUAAAUUUGCUAAUGUACUUAAGAUUGGUCAACGGUUUACGAUAUGGGAGGUAAGAGUCACUGUAAAUUAAGCGUAAUAUCUAAAAAGUUGGCCUUCAUCAUAUCGUCAUCAAAAACGAUUUUUAGGUAAAGUAAACAAUCAUCACGAUAUAGACCUCCAUAAAUGUUAGGGAACUCUUCAGCCAUUUCAAAAAGAAUAUAUAUACAGACCAAAUCAGCUAUCUGUGCUGAAUCAGAACUUCCCAUUGGUGUAUCGAAACUAUCUGGUGUGUCUUUACGGACCCACAACUUAUCAUCAAAUUUAAUAAUAGAUCUUCUGGCUGCCAACACAACAUUAAUUUCUUCUCGGGUGAGACCAGCUUUGUUAUGAGCAAGCCAAAGUGCCUUAUUAAGUACUAUUGGAUUGAUAGAAGAAUAAAAAUUGGAAAUAUCAAACUGGAUAAACUUAGUACUCACCUUAUUGUUAAUAGAACUAAACCAACCAGUCAACUACUUCAAACGAAUUAGUCCAUAAACUAAGUUUUAAUGUUUUGAUUAAAUUAGGAAUAUAUUUAUCUAGUAUAUUUUUACUAAGGAUACCGAUGUCAGAGCUAGAAGGGCAGAUAAGCCUUAAUGAUGGGUUAGUAAAAAAAUUUGGUUUGUGAUCCUUCAAAAUGAACCGAGGUUGCUUAGGAACGAGUGGUUCUGUCUUCAUAUGUAGGUUAUAUUUCUCCAUGAUUUUCAUAGCCUCAAUGUUGGCUUUCUUAAGUAUUCUUUUAUCAGCAAUUUUAUACUUUUUCUGAAUUUCUUUCUUUAGUAAUUCCAAAUAAUAGUCUUUAUAAAGUUUGUACAGAUUUCCAGUCUUAUCAGAUUGAAUCAACAUAGUUGAAUAUGGUACUUAAGUUAAAGGCACCAGAAUUUAUUAUGGUAUUAUCCAUAUAAUUCAAAAUGGGGUGAUUAUAAUCUAAAUAAGCAACAAGGAUAUCCAAACAUGUUUUUUGUCUAUCUACUUAUCCUCUUUGUGAUUUUGGAUAAAAAGAAAACUAUACAAAUGAAUCCUUCGAAUUUAACUAAAUUCUAUAUUUUUAUGCAGCUGAAGAUUGCUCUGCAUUUUAAAUUGAUGUAAUGUUUGCAUCGUUCAAUUAAAUGGAGUCGCAUGAAACGAUCGUACUGCAUUACCUCUGGAUAUCCUUGUUGCUCAUUUUGAUUAUAUAUAUAUAUAUGUAAUGUAUGUAUGUUGCUUCCAUGUAAUUGGCUUGGCUAGACUGGCUUGCAGAUCAAAUUUUGUUUUUUUGGCCCCAGAAGAUGAUGUGUUUUUGUUUGCAAUAAAAUUGAAAGGUGUAAAAACUUUUUUCUUGGUUUUGCUCUCAUUCAUCCUUGGUGACAUGAAAGGUGCUCUACAAUCAGUUUUUUUUAGAAGAGCUAGACACUUUCUUGGCACUCAACUUUUUUGCAGAUGUUUCCUGCCCUUUUUUCGUAGACUUUGGUAAUUUAGAACAGGAGUUUGUGAACUGUAAACAUAUUUCUUUUACCGAUGUCACUUUAGGAAUGAAACUAGUCGCAGGAGCACGUUUUGGAAUCUUAGAUUGCAGCGAUCGGCAACUUUGUUUUGCUGAUAUUUUUUUUAUUCUCUUCCACUAUCUCUUUAGCAAGUCGUGCAGGUGUAAGCAGUUUCUGAGCACGUUUGUUUUUUGUUUUUUUUUCUAAAUACACAUCAAGGGAGUCAAAUUUCUGAAACAUUUUCCAAUGAAUUUUUUCCCAAUUUUUUUACCUGCUUUUUCAGAUGGCUCUGCAAUAUUUGAUUCCUUCUUGGAAGAUAGUACCAUGUUGACACAAUUAUCAAAUUCUGUUGCUGUUUUUGAAAUCAUAUUGGUUGUGGUUCUUUUCUGAACAUAUAUGUAAUGUAUGUUUCUACAUUAGUGACCUUCAGUUAAAGCUUUCUUAAUUCUGUAAGAGAUUUAGUGUAAUGUUUCUGGAAUGUGGAAUUCUAUACUUCUUGACAAGUCUUUCAGUGUUCGUUAUUUGUAAUGGUUGGUUUGUGGUAAUCUGGUUUGUUUAGAUAUAUUUCUCGGUCGUGCAGUCUGUUCCAUACAGUGCUAAGUCACAGUAAUAAUAAUAAUAAUAAUAAUGAUAAAUAAUUAUGGUAGUUUAGUUGGGGGUCAGAUAUUCCUUAUACAAAUCUAAAUGAUUUAGAUUAGUAUUGCAUAUCAUCAUCAUUAUUAUUAUCAUUCUUUAUUAGACAAUGCAGUGCUAACCAACAACAGUUUUUAGUUGCCACUGAACAACUAUCACCAGCAUUACCUCGUCUAAUGUCUAUGGUUUACUGUUAUGGAAUGCUUAAAUGAGGGAGGAGGUAAAUAGUGCAUUGUGUGUGUGUGUAUGCAUAGACCUAUAUUUUUCCUAAAUAGAGUAAAAAAAAAAAGCAAUACAUGUAAACUAAAAGCGACCUUUAUACUUUCCAAUAUCGAAUAAAUCUGGGUUUUUUUUUUUUUCCUUCUCUUUUUAAACUUUCGAAUUGGCCAUUCAAUGAAUGUAAGAACCUCUCUCAUCUCUCUCUUUUUGUCUCUUUGGUAUACUCCCUACUUUAUUGUAUACCACCAUCAGCUGAAUAGUGUGUGUAUGUAUGUAUGUGUGUGUGUGUAUAUAUAUAUAUAUUCACACAUACACACAGGUGUGUACGUAUAUACAUACAUAUACAUGUAUAUAUGUACAUACACGUAUAUACUGAAUUCUUUUUCUCAACUUAAAAAGAAUUCAUCUUAAAUCAAGUAUUGAGUUCUUUUUUCACUUAGCAUUUGAAUUUACCCCUAUCACCAUUACACACACUCCUCUUCUCUCAUUGACUUUGCUAAUGGAAGUUUGGGUUAAGUUAGGUUUUUUGGGGGUUUUUUUUUUAAACAAUAUCACCUUUUAUUUUAUUUCAAAUAUUUUUUAUAAUUAUUAUUUCAGAGCAAAAGUUAUAGAUUAAAUCUUCUGUCACAAAGGUAGCUCUCAUUAUUAUGUUCAUUUGUACAAACACACACACACACACACACACACUUAUGCUGGGGGUAAAAGUAAAUUUUUUUUUUUUUUAAAACCCAAAACUGAAGAAAAUAACAAUGUACUUAAGACUGUUUUUUUUUUGUUUUUUUUUCUUAAGUCUAAUGUUACCUUUGUAGAGUUAUUAGUUUUAUAGAAAACCAACUACCCUCAUCAAACAGAAAAAAAAGAUCUUAAUUAUUGAUUGUAAAUAGAAUUAAUCUAUUUCUCCUUUCUUUUCCUCUGCUUGUACCUAUUCUUUGAAGUCGAAUUCUGACACACAAAAUAAUGCGUAAAAACAAGCAAAAAAAACAAAAUAAAAACCUUCAGAUAUUGACUUUCCAUUAAAUCUCUUAUUUGGUAUAGUUCCAUGAAAUUGGAGAAAGAUUGACAAGAAUUUAAUUUUUUUUUUAUUUUUGGUCGGGGGGUCGUUGUUUUUUUUUUAUAUAUAUAUAUAUCAACCACACUCCCACUCCAUCUCCCACCCCCCUUCUAAAAGUAUGUGCCUAGGUUUGGUUUUUAAAUAGAGGGUACAGUGUUCCUUCUAAGUGAAUCAUCAUCUUGACAGUUCAGUCUAUAAAUAGUAUCGAUAUGUGUUUGGUGUUUUGUGAGGGUCACUAAUAGUCAUUGAAGACAUAAACUAAAAUUACAUUACUGAACAAUAAAAAAAAAAUAAUAAUUAAAUUUGAGAAUUUAAAAAAAAAAAAAUCCCAACAAAAAAUACAAAACAAAACAAAAAACAGUGGCAGCAGUUGUGGCUGUAUGACUGGCUAACGCCAAGUGUUUUCCCUCUUUCUGCAUAGUGUGGUUACAUGGGGUCAGAGUUCGUUUGUCAUUGAUGGAACAUGGAAAAUUUUUUUUUAAAUCUGAUGUCAGUGUUCCCAAAAGAAAUAAGUUUGCCUUGCAAGCUAAAAAGUUCACCUCUGCAGAAUAUAUUCAUGGCGUAAAAUAAUUUUUGCUUGAAACAUUUUCUUAUACUAUAUUCAAAUUUUGCUUUUGAAUAAAUGUUACAAGUUGGAAGCUAUUUGUUUUUG